GCUGCCUGCACCAGCACCACCCGGUCCGAAGCCUCCUGUUCCUCUGCCAGCACCACCAGGUCCAAAACCACCUGUUCCCGUGCCAGCGCCACCUGGUCCAUAGCUUCCUGUUCCUGUACCAGCGCCACCUGGUCCAUAGCUUCCUGUUCCUGUGCCAGCGCCACCUGGUCCAUAGCUUCCUGUUCCCGUGCCAGCACCACCUGGUCCAUAGCCUCCUGUUCCUGUACCAGCGCCACCUGGUCCAUAGCUUCCUGUGCCAGCGCCACCUGGUCCAUAGCUUCCUGUUCCAGCCCCACCUGGUCCAUAGCUUCCUGUGCCAGCACCACCCGGUCCGAAGCCUCCUGUUCCUGUACCAGCACCACCAGGCCCAUAUCUGCCUGGUCCUGUACCUGCUCCUCCAGGCCCACCAGCCCCAGGUGCCAAGCCUGCUCCUCCAGGACCUCCUCCAACUCCUCCAAGACCACCAGCACCCCCAGGACCACCUCCAACUCCUCCAUGACCAGUUCCAACGCCCCCAGGACCACCUCCAACUCCUCCAGGACUAGUUCCAACGCCCCCAGGACCACCUCCAACUCCACCAGUACCGGCUCCAACGCCCCCAGGACCACCUCCAACUCCUCCUGCUACCCCACCGACUCCACCUACAUUUGCACUCUGUGCUCCAACUCCAGUUCCAGUUGCAGGACUGUCUCCUCUCCCCCCACCUGUUGCACCACCUGA
rnacentral:lncRNA from 1 species